rnacentral:rRNA from 1 species
AAAAUUAACCUCUGGGUUAGUAUGAUAAAUCAUACUAGGGCCCCAAAGCCAGCCCAAUAACUUAGGGCAGAGUCAACCAAGGUGACCCAACAUUGCACAAAACCGUGAGAAACUCAAGAGAAGAGUAAAGAAACUCAACCCCAGAGUCUUAGUAACCUUCCCAGUAUUGAACCAUCCUUUCGGUAAAGGGGCCUGCGGAAGGAUCAUUACUGAGAGGUUACUAAGACUCUUGGGUUGAGUUUCUUUACUCUUCUCUUGAGUUUCCUCACGGUUUUGUGCAAUGUUGGGUCACCUUGGUUGACUCUGCCCUAAGUUAUUGGGCUGGCCUUUGGGGCCCCUAGUAUGAUUUAUCAUACUAACCCCAGAGGUUAAUUUCUACUAUGUCUAUGAAUUGAUGUAUGAAAAAAGUUAUUUGUUAACUUGAAGGCUUUUGCUGUAAAAAGUGAGUCUUUAAAAACAACUCUUGGCAAUGGAUCUCUUGGUUCUCGCAUCGAUGAAGAGCGUAGCAAAGUGCGAUAAUUAUUGCGACUUGCAUUCAUAGUGAAUCAUCGAGUUCUUGAACGCAUCUUGCGCCUAGUAGUCAAUCUACUAGGCACAGUUGUUUCAGUAUCUGCAUCCACCAAUCAACACGACUUGCUUGUGUUGGAACUGGGCUUACUUUUGAUGGCAUUUAGUUGCUGUCAUGGCCUUAAAUGUAUUUAGUCCUAGGUGUUAACUUGUUAAUGCCGGAUGGAGACUCUAGAGUGCCUUAGAAGCAGCUUGGUUAGUGAGUUCAUAAUUCCAAGUGUUAGUCUUUUAUUGAACUGGGUUUCUAGUCUAUGGGACAUGGAGUCGUAAGACUCUUAAACAACAAACUCACAUUUAGA